CAGUAUAUAUUUUCCCCACUCACAGUAAGUGGAGGUCCUUCAGUUCUCCAACGCUAUCUGGGCUAGCUAGGAAGAAUGAAGGAAGUCACUAUCUGAAUGCAAGCAGUGAGACUUACAAAAUUUGAAGGUUUAUCAAGUCUUCUAACUCUGAACCAAAAGCUGUAAGUUGAUUAAAGCUCAAGUUCCUGAAAAAGCUGCCGAUGUUUUGUAUCUCUCCAGCAAGUGAAGUAUUAUGCAAAUCCCUGCAACAAGUAGAACCUCAAAUAAGUAAGUCAAGAUAGCCAAACAGUGGC